rnacentral:lncRNA from 1 species
CCCCAAAAAUGGAAUGUGAGCUUUUUUUUUUUGCCUUUCUUACCCUGUUUUCUUUCACUCUUUUGAUUUGAGCUUUUAAUUUUCUAAAUUUUGAUUGAACUUUUCAUUUUUCUAACUUUUAGUUGUAAUAUUUUAAUUUGUAGAAACUAAAAACACUCACUAGCGUUGACUUCCCGGCAGCGUGGAUCUAUGGUUACUCUGACUCUCAACGCGACAACGCCGACUGUUAGAAACGAAGGGAACCGUCGAAUACCAAAGCAUCCUUCAAAGACCGCAUCUAGGUUCUCUGAGGCGACUCUCCAUUCCGAUGCGAUCUUCUACUAGUUU